rnacentral:rRNA from 1 species
UUGCUUAACCACACCCCCACGGGAAACAGCAGUGACAAAAAUUAAGCCAUAAACGAAAGUUUGACUAAGUUAUAUUAAUUAGGGUUGGUAAAUCUCGUGCCAGCCACCGCGGUCAUACGAUUAACCCAAGCUAACAGGAGUACGGCGUAAAACGUGUUAAAGCACCAUACCAAUAGGGUUAAAUUCUAACUAAGCUGUAAAAAGCCAUGAUUAAAAUAAAAAUAAAUGACGAAAGUGACCCUACAUAGCCGACGCACUAUAGCUAAGACCCAACUGGGAUUAGAUACCCCACUAUGCUUAGCCCUAAACACAGAUAAUUACAUAAACAAAUUAUUCGCCAGAGUACUACUAGCAACAGCUUAAAACUCAAAGGACUUGGCGGUGCUUUAUAUCCUUCUAGAGGAGCCUGUUCUAUAAUCGAUAAACCCCGAUAAACCUCACCAAUUCUUGCUAAUACAGUCUAUAUUCUCGCCAUCUUCAGCAAACCCUA